AAGAGAUGUGUGAUGACGCAUAUCAAUAAGCGGAGGAAAAGAAACUAACAAGGAUUCCCCUAGUAACGGCGAGUGAAGCGGGAAGAGCUCAAAUUUGAAAUCUUCAAGGUUCUGACCUUGACGAAUUGUAGUUUAUAGAAGUGUUUUCGGUUAGAUGGAGUGGUAAAAGUUCUUUGGAAUAGGACAUCAUAGAGGGUGAGAAUCCCGUAUUUGGUCAUUCCUCCUAGCGUUGUGAUACACUUUCAACGAGUCGGAUUGUUUGGGAAUGCAGUCCAAAAUGGGUGGUAAAUUUCAUCUAAAGCUAAAUAUUGGCGAGAGACCGAUAGCGAACAAGUACCGUGAGGGAAAGAUGAAAAGAACUUUGAAAAGAGAGUUAAACAGUACGUGAAAUUGUCAAAAGGGAAGCGUUUGACACCAGUGUUGUUUUUCCGAAAAUCAAUUACGAAUGUUUUGUUUUUGAGGAGUUAUGACUUCAUCGGCUUGCUCCUUUCUUUAUGAAACUUUCUUAAUGCACUUUUCGGUUAACAAGUCAACAUCAAUUUCUUUUGUUGUAAAAGGGUAUGAGGAAGGUGGCUUUCUUUUCGGAGAAAGUGUUUAUAGCCUUGUGCCUCUGCAAUCGGAGAGAUUGAGGUCUGCAGCGUAGAUCCUUCGGGGUUAGAUACAGUUUGUGCUAAGUUAUAGCUUUUCAUAGACAACUUGUUGACUAUGUUUAGUCUUGUAGCUUACUCGCUUACUGCUAUUUUACCUACGCUUAGGAUGUUGAACUCUAUCACACACAG
rnacentral:rRNA from 1 species